rnacentral:rRNA from 1 species
GUGGGGAAUUUUGGACAAUGGGCGCAAGCCUGAUCCAGCAAUGCCGCGUGCAGGAAGAAGGCCUUCGGGUUGUAAACUGCUUUUGUCAGGGAAGAAAUCUUCUGGGCUAAUACCCCGGGAGGAUGACGGUACCUGAAGAAUAAGCACCGGCUAACUACGUGCCAGCAGCCGCGGUAAUACGUAGGGUGCGAGCGUUAAUCGGAAUUACUGGGCGUAAAGCGUGCGCAGGCGGCUUUGCAAGACAGAUGUGAAAUCCCCGGGCUCAACCUGGGAACUGCAUUUGUGACUGCAAGGCUAGAGUACGGCAGAGGGGGAUGGAAUUCCGCGUGUAGCAGUGAAAUGCGUAGAUAUGCGGAGGAACACCAAUGGCGAAGGCAAUCCCCUGGGCCUGUACUGACGCUCAUGCACGAAAGCGUGGGGAGCAAACAGGAUUAGAAACCCUGGUAGUCC